AGUUUGAUCCUGGCUCAGGAUGAACGCUAGCGGCAGGCCUAACACAUGCAAGUCGAGGGGUAGAAAUAGCUUGCUAUUUUGAGACCGGCGCACGGGUGCGUAACGCGUAUGCAAUCUGCCUUGUACUGAGGGAUAGCCCGGAGAAAUCCGGAUUAAUACCUCAUAGUAUAUCUGAGUGGCAUCAUUUAGAUAUUAAAGUUUUAACGGUACAAGAUGAGCAUGCGUCCCAUUAGUUAGUUGGUGUGGUAACGGCACACCAAGACGAUGAUGGGUAGGGGUCCUGAGAGGGAGAUCCCCCACACUGGUACUGAGACACGGACCAGACUCCUACGGGAGGCAGCAGUGAGGAAUAUUGGUCAAUGGAGGCAACUCUGAACCAGCCAUGCCGCGUGCAGGAAGACGGUUCUAUGGAUUGUAAACUGCUUUUGUACAGGAAGAAAUUAUCCCUCGUGAGGGAGCUUGACGGUACUGUAAGAAUAAGGAUCGGCUAACUCCGUGCCAGCAGCCGCGGUAAUACGGAGGAUCCAAGCGUUAUCCGGAAUCAUUGGGUUUAAAGGGUUCGUAGGCGGUUUUGUAAGUCAGUGGUGAAAGUUUGCAGCUUAACUGUAAAAUUGCCAUUGAUACUGCAAGACUUGAAUGUUUGUGAAGUAGCUAGAAUAUGUAGUGUAGCGGUGAAAUGCUUAGAUAUUACAUGGAAUACCGAUCUGCGAGCAGGUUACUAACUAAUUAUUGACGCUGAUGACGAAAGCGUGGGGAGCGAACAGGAUUAGAUACCCUGGUAGUCACGCUGUAAACGAUGGAUACUAGCUGUUUGGUUUUCGGACUGAGUGGCUAAGCGAAAGUGAUAAGUAUCCCACCUGGGGAGUACGUUCGCAAGAAUGAAACUCAAAGGAAUUGACGGGGGCCCGCACAAGCGGUGGAUUAUGUGGUUUAAUUCGAUGAUACGCGAGGAACCUUACCAAGACUUAAAUGGGAAUUGACAGAUUUAGAAAUAGAUCCUCCUUCGGGCAAUUUUCAAGGUGCUGCAUGGUUGUCGUCAGCUCGUGCCGUGAGGUGUUAGGUUAAGUCCUGCAACGAGCGCAACCCCUGUCACUAGUUGCUAACAUUCAGUUGAGGACUCUAGUGAGACUGCCUACGCAAGUAGAGAGGAAGGUGGGGAUGACGUCAAAUCAUCACGGCCCUUACGUCUUGGGCCACACACGUAAUACAAUGGCCGGUACAGAGGGCAGCUACACAGUGAUGUGAUGCGAAUCUCGAAAGCCGGUCUCAGUUCGGAUUGGAGUCUGCAACUCGACUCUAUGAAGCUGGAAUCGCUAGUAAUCGCGCAUCAGCCAUGGCGCGGUGAAUACGUUCCCGGGCCUUGUACACACCGCCCGUCAAGCCAUGGAAGCCGGGGGUACCUGAAGUCGGUGACCGUAAAAGGAGCUGCCUAGGGUAAAACUGGUGACUAGGGCUAAGUCGUAACAAGGUAACC
rnacentral:rRNA from 1 species